AUGGGUGGUGUGACGUCCUCGGUGGCCGCUAAGUUCGCCUUCUUCCCGCCCGACCCACCGUCUUACGGCGUGGUGGACGAGGAGCCGCCUCCGCCGGGCGUGGCUCCGGCGGGGAGUGACGCUGCAGCACUUUCUAGAAGGGUGUUGAUGACGGGGGUUCUGUGGAGGGAGGGGGUGGAGGCACGUCGCCUCCGGACGCGGCGGGGCACGGAGAUCAUUGCUAUGUAUGUAGGGUGUCCCAAGGCGAGUCUCACCGUGCUGUACUCGCACGGCAAUGCCGCCGACCUCGGCAAGAUGUAUGAGCUCUUCAUAGAGUUCAGCGCUCGCCCCCACGUCAACAUCAUGGGGUAUGAUUAUUCUGGUUAUGGACGGUCAUCAGGCAAGGCAAGUGAAGCUAAUACAUUUGCUGACAUAGAGUCUGCAUAUAAAUGCCUUGUGGAGGUUUAUGGGACUAGGGAAGAAGACAUUGUUCUUUAUGGUCAAUCUGUCGGUAGUGGCCCCACUGUUGAUUUAGCUGCUCACUUGCAUCACAUAAGAGCAGUUGUUCUGCAUAGUCCCAUACUUUCUGGCCUGCGUGUCAUGUAUUCUGUGAAGAAAACGUACUGGUUUGACAUAUAUAAGAACAUCGAGAAAAUUCCCCUUGUUAAAUGCCCUGUUCUGGUGAUUCAUGGUACAAGUGACGAUGUUGUUGAUUUUUCCCAUGGAAAGCGGAUAUGGGAGCUGAGCCAACAGAAGUAUGAGCCUCUGUGGAUCGAGGGAGGCGACCACUGUAACUUGGAGACCUUCCCAGUGUACAUAAGGCAUCUGAAGAAGUUUCUGUCGGCUGUAGAGAAGUUGCCUGCUGGAAAAGAAGCAGCACCUGAGAGUGAGAAGUUGCUAGCUGGAAAUGAAAAACCUUCAGAUAGCGUCGCUCUUUCUGAGCCGCAUUUGAUGACCUCGCAGAGGUUAGAGCCAUCGAGGAAGAGCUCAAGGCAUGAGCAGCCUCCUAGGCUGAGCACUGAACGUGUAGAUAAACACCGUCGAAGUACAGACGUCAGGGAAAAGGCAAGGUCCAUCACACAUAAGGAGAGAUCAAGGAGAAGUGUCGAUACAUUUGACAGGACAAGAGAUGAAAAUGAACAGACAGACAAACCAAGGAAAAGCAUUGACAGGCUUGGCGAGAUGAUUAGAUCAAUGGGCCUCUGCAAUGUUGAUUGCUUCAAAGAGCCUUCUCGAAAAACUGAGGCUUGCUGA
rnacentral:rRNA from 1 species